GAUGAAGAACGUAGCGAAAUGCGAUAUAUGGUGUGAAUUGCAGAAUCCCGUGAACCAUCGAGUCUUUGAACGCAAGUUGCGCCUGAGGUCGUGAGGCCGAAGGGCACG
rnacentral:rRNA from 1 species